AGCACAGUUCAUACAGCCAUGCUGCUUGUCGAGCCAAAUCACGCCUCAGAAACAGGACAAGGAGCUAUUUCCCAUCAGGAAACCUGUGGGGGCUUGGGUGGCUGAGCCCCAGCCCUGUGCCCCCCAAAGCUGCCCUCCUGCCUGUGUGCCCCACACAGAUGGAGUGCCCACAGCUGGUGCAGGGCUGGAGCAUGGCAGGGCGUGGGCCUCGGCCCUGGCAGUGUGGUGGUCUUGGUGGCAGCUGCUGCAUCACCUCGUGUGCUGGAUUUGCCGGUGUCUGAGCUCACUGAGCACGGCCGUUCAGACACUUUCCUGCACUCCAUGGGGGAUUAGGGCCUUCCACGCAAGGGCACACUUACACUGGCCCCACUAUUUCAAAAUGAAGCAUCCAGACCCUACUUUAUCCAACUUUAUUGCCAUGGAAACAGCUAAAGGGAAAAAUUCUGGUUCCAGAGGAGGCACUUAGUUCUGCUGGUGCUGGGUCUGCAUUUCAGUGCCCUGUGGAGAUACAUGGAAGACCCCAGCAAAACCAUCCCUGCCUUUCCUCCCUCUUCUCUGCACCCAGGAAGGCUGGAGAAGGACAGUUUGUCCUGCACCCCUCCCUGACCUGCUGUCGUGCUCUACCAACAUGGGAAACUGAGGCCCCAGGCACAGGGCAGGCAGACACCAUGGAGCUGGAGACGGGUGGGAGAAGCAUGAUAUGGGUUAAAAAUAAUCAUAAGAAAUCAAGGUGGUCUCUUACAGCCUUCAAGACAGAUCCCUGCCUUUCUCUGAAACUCUGAGGACCAAGGACCUUGAUGCAAGAGAGCUGUGCUCCCAGAAAGGACCCUGCAGGACUGCAGCCAGCUGGAUCGCGCUGGGCUCACCCAGGGAGGAGGACACGAGUCAGGCUCUACCCUCAGCUGUGCCAGUCUCAGAAGAGCUGAAAAAAUCUGGGCCCUGCCAAAGUGUUUAUUUAAAUACAACAGCAUCUCAUGGCACACUCUGGCUGUGCUGGGCUGUCUGCCCUCUGAUACACUGCUGCGUUAUUUCUGUCACUUACAGUAUCGACAGACGUUCUCCCCCUGUCCCAUCCCAGCUGUCCAGAAGCAUCACAGUGAGCAGUCUUCAGUUCCCUGUCCCAAGUCAGACGAUUAAUUACUUGUCUUCCCCUAACCAGCCUCUUCAUCAGCUAUUGGAGAGAAAAUAAACUUCAUGCUUGGCUUUAGGAGAGCAAAGUGAUGAGAACUGUCCUGACUGUUGCUGCUGCUCCCUCAGCCUGCCCUCCCUCUCAGCUGCUCAGAUGCUGUCCCUUGCUGCCCUGACCCCACUCCUUGUGCUAUAGAGGCAUCUGUCCCGGUGUCUGCUGGAAGGUAUCAGGCUGAGACCCCACAUCCAGCACCACUCUCCUGGGUUUGCAGCCCACUCGUUUCCCCUGUGGCUGCUCUCAGGAUGGAAGAACAAAUGCCAAGGCUGCUCCAAAGUACUCAAUAUGGUUUUCCAGCUCAGAACCUGGCCACUGUCUCCAGGCAGAAGAAGCCUGUCACAGAGAAGUGCAGGUGC
rnacentral:lncRNA from 1 species